AACGUAGGAGCCAAGCGUUAUCCGAAUUCACUGGGCGUAAAGCGCGUGCAGGCGACUCGGUAAGUUGGAUGUAAAAUCUCCUGGCUCAACUGGGAGGGGACGUUCAAUACUGUCGAACUAGAGGGCAAUAGAGGGAGGUGGAAUUCCCGGUGUAGUGGUGAAAUGCGUAGAUAUCGGGAGGAACACCAGUGGCGAAAGCGGCCUCCUGGAUUGCACCUGACGCUCAGACGCGAAAGCUAGGGGAGCGAACGGG
rnacentral:rRNA from 1 species